AUUUCGGAAGGCGAUGGAGUUCGCCAUAACCGUCCCGGCACUGUUCACCGGGUCUGAUGACUCCUGGCAGACG
rfam:Acidobacteria bacterium 13_2_20CM_57_17 13_2_20cm_scaffold_1184, whole genome shotgun sequence.